CUCACUCAUCGCCCAGGGAGGGAGGGCGGCCAUUUGUGGCCGCUACCUCUUCAACUGGGCGGUGAAGACA
rfam:Hepatitis C virus clone MD2b6-1 polyprotein mRNA, complete cds